UACGUAGGGUGCGAGCGUUAAUCGGAAUUACUGGGCGUAAAGCGUGCGCAGGCGGUUUUGUAAGACAGAUGUGAAAUCCCCGGGCUUAACCUGGGAAUGGCAUUUGGGACUGCAAGGCUUGAGUGCGGCAGAGGAGACUGGAAUUCCUGGUGUAGCAGUGAAAUGCGUAGAUAUCAGGAGGAAUACCGAUGGCGAAGGCAGGUCCCUGGGCUGACACUGACGCUCAUGCACGAAAGCGUGGGGAGCAAACAGG
rnacentral:rRNA from 1 species